UAAAAACACAAUGCUGUCUCAAAACCUAC
rnacentral:piRNA from 1 species